rnacentral:rRNA from 1 species
AUUGAACGCUGGCGGCAUGCUUUACACAUGCAAGUCGAACGGUAACAGGGUGCUUGCACCGCUGACGAGUGGCGAACGGGUGAGUAAUGCGUCGGAACGUGCCGAGUAGUGGGGGAUAACGCAGCGAAAGUUGUGCUAAUACCGCAUACGUACUGAGGUAGAAAGUGGGGGACCUUCGGGCCUCACGCUAUUCGAGCGGCCGACGUCUGAUUAGCUAGUAGGUGAGGUAAAGGCUCACCUAGGCGACGAUCAGUAGCGGGUCUGAGAGGAUGAUCCGCCACACUGGGACUGAGACACGGCCCAGACUCCUACGGGAGGCAGCAGUGGGGAAUUUUGGACAAUGGGCGAAAGCCUGAUCCAGCCAUGCCGCGUGUCUGAAGAAGGCCUUCGGGUUGUAAAGCACUUUUAUCGGGAGCGAAAAGCGGACGGUGAAUACCCGUCCGUGCUGACGGUACCCGAGGAAUAAGCACCGGCUAACUUCGUGCCAGCAGCCGCCGCGGUAA